GGGCCCGCACAAGCGGUGGAGUAUGUGGUUUAAUUCGAUGCAACGCGAAGAACCUUACCAGGGUUUGACAUCCUGCGAAUCUCUUGGAAACGAGAGAGUGCCUUCGGGAACGCAGUGACAGGUGGUGCAUGGCUGUCGUCAGCUCGUGUCGUGAGAUGUUGGGUUAAGUCCCGCAACGAGCGCAACCCUCACUUUUAGUUGCCAUCAUUUAGUUGGGCACUCUAGCGAGACCGCCGGUGAUAAACCGGAGGAAGGUGUGGAUGACGUCAAGUCAUCAUGCCCCUUACAUCCUGGGCUACACACGUACUACAAUGCUACGGACAAAGGGCAGCAAACUCGCGAGAGCUAGCAAAUCCCAUAAACCGUGGCUCAGUUCAGAUCGUAGGCUGCAACUCGCCUACGUGAAGGAGGAAUCGCUAG
rnacentral:rRNA from 1 species